rnacentral:rRNA from 1 species
UACGUAGGUGGCAAGCGUUGUCCGGAUUUAUUGGGUUUAAAGGGUGCGUAGGCGGUCCUAUAAGUCAGUGGUGAAAUAUCCCGGCUUAACCGGGAGGGUGGCAUUGAUACUGUUGGACUUGAGUAAAGUUGAGGUUGGCGGAAUUGACGGUGUAGCGGUGAAAUGCUUAGAUAUCGUCAAGAACACCGAUUGCGAAGGCAGCUAACUAAGCUUUAACUGACGCUGAGGCACGAAAGUGUGGGGAGCAAACAGG